rnacentral:rRNA from 1 species
GACGAACGCUGGCGGCGUGCUUAACACAUGCAAGUCGAGCGGUAAGGCCUUUCGGGGUACCCGAGCGGCGAACGGGUGAGUAACACGUGGGUGAUCUGCCCUGCACUUCGGGAUAAGCCUGGGAAACUGGGUCUAAUACCGGAUAUGACCUCCUAUCGCAUGGUGGGUGGUGGCAAGAUUUAUCGGUGCAGGAUGGGCCCGCGGCCUAUCAGCUUGUUGGUGGGGUAAUGGCCUACCAAGGCGACGACGGGUAGCCGACCUGAGAGGGUGACCGGCCACAAUGGGACUGAGAGACGGCCCAGACGCCUACGGGAGGCAGCAGUGGGGAAUAUUGCACAAUGGGCGAAAGCCUGAUACAGCGACGCAGCGUGAGGGAUGACGGCCUUCGGGUUGUAAACCUCUUUCAGCAGGGACGAAGCGAAAGUGACGGUACCUGCAGAAGAAGCACCGGCUAACUACGUG